rnacentral:rRNA from 1 species
AAAAACAUGUCCUUUUGAAAGUUAAUAUAAGGUCUAGCCUGCCCAAUGAUUUAUUUUAAUGGCCGCGGUAUUUUAACUGUGCUAAGGUAGCAUAAUCACUUGUCUUUUAAUUGAAGGCUAGAAUGAAUGGCUGGACGAAACAUAAGCUUUCUUUAAUUUAAUUAUUUGAAUUUAAUUUUUUAGUUAAAAAGCUAAAAUUUAUUUGAGGGACGAGAAGACCCUAUAGAUCUUUAUAUAUUAUUUUAUUAUAUAUUUUAGUGAAUAUAUUAUUUAUAAUAAAAGAAUAUAUUUAGUUGGGGCGAUUGUAGAAUAGAUAAAACUUCUACUUUUAUUUUUCAUAAAUAAAUGUAUUCUUGAUCCAGAAUUACUGAUUAUAAGAUUAAGUUACCUUAGGGAUAACAGCGUAAUUUUUUCGGAGAGACCUUAUCGAUGAUAAAGCUUGCGACCUCGAUGUUGGAUUAAAAUUAGUUGUAGGUGUAGAAGUCUAUAAACUAGGUCUGUUCGACCUUUAAUUUUUUACAUGAUCUGAGUU